AUCUAGAAUAAGCAGCUAACAAGUAAUGAAAGAUCCCACGCAGAGAGACCCUUACUCAAGUCUUGGGAAAUCGCGGACCCCAGACACAGAGAGACCA
rnacentral:pre_miRNA from 14 species